GCCGCUUUAGCUCAAUGGUAGAGCAGCUGUUUCGUAAACAGCAGGCCCCGGUUCGAUUCCGGGAAGCGGCU
rnacentral:tRNA from 1 species